rnacentral:rRNA from 1 species
AUGAAGGCCUCAACAAGUCGGAAGCAUGGCCUGCUCAGGAAACUCUGUUUUGAGAGAUGGAUGUCAGGAGCCUUUCCCGUGAUCUUUGAUCUUGUUGCAGCUCAUCUACUUCCAUGUGGCUGGCUGGCUUUGGUUUCAAAAAAAACAAAAAAACAAAAAACUUUCAUGUGGCUCAUUUGUUAUAGUAUAUCGAAAAUAUACCUACUUGCCAUGUCAGCACCAAGUACUCAAAAAUAUAUCAUCUUGCCUUGUCUGCAUAAUCGGGCUGAUUCAUUAGAAGAUACUGCAUGCAUAUUUUUUUCUUCCAUAAAGAGCAUUUCAUUGAAUUGA